rnacentral:ncRNA from 1 species
CAAGGCUCAUAGGUAAAACUGUGACCCUUUGCAGUAAUGCAAUGUGGAAAAAUCCUCUAAAUUGCUGGAAUACCGUUAGAGCUUUUCUUACAACAACGAAAUUCGAAAGGAUAAGCGUGAUUGUUUUAAAAAAGAAAAGAUUCGGCAAUCAGCAGCCAAGCCUCGAUAUUUUUGGGGAAGGUUCAGAGACUAUAAUGGGGAUUUCCAUUUUUAAUAAAAAUGGAAAAUGGUAUAGUCCAUUCCCAACGGAAACAUUGGG